rnacentral:rRNA from 1 species
UACGUAGGAGGCAAGCGUUGUCCGGAAUUACUGGGCGUAAAGCGCGUGUAGGUGGUUGGACAAGUCUGCUGUGAAAGCGCCUGGCUUAACCGGGCGAGGUCGGCGGAAACUGUCCGACUCGAGGACGGUAGAGGGGGGUGGAAUUCCCGGUGUAGUGGUGAAAUGCGUAGAGAUCGGGAGGAACACCUGUGGCGAAGGCGGCCCCCUGGGCCGGCCCUGACACUGAGACGCGAAGGCGUGGGGAGCGAACGGG